UCGCCGAAGUACUCGCCAUCGCCCAGCAGAGCAAUCCGCAAAUCCUCGCCGUGAGGUCCCUUGCUGAUAACCUCGGCCUGACCUGAAGCAACAAUGAAGAAACGCUGCUUGUCCUUACCCUCCUCGACAAAAAGUUUAUCAACAUCAACCUCUUUGGCCUCGAACGAGCUUACCAAACGAUGCAGAAUCUCAUCGUCGAACUCUGAGAACAGAGGGAUGGCCUUCAGGUCCUUUGCUGUAAACGAAGGUACACCAUUCUGGAAAGUAAUGGGCAGACGAUCGUUCUUACGAAGUUCAACCUUUGUACGGUUCACACGGAAUGUACCACCCGAUACCUGCACCCAAGGCAGCAGUUUCAGGAGUAGUCUGGGAGUGAUUGAGCCCAUCUGUGGGGCUGUCUUGGUAGUGGUUGCCAGUCUUCUGGCGGUAGCAGU
rnacentral:antisense_RNA from 1 species